GGCCCUGUAGCGCAUUGGAAAGCGCGUUGGAUUUCUAAUUCAAAGGUCAUGGGUUCGAACCAUACCUGGGCUG